CCUACGGGAGGCAGCAAUGAGGAAUAUUGGUCAAUGGACGAGAGUCUGAACCAGCCAAGUAGCGUGAAGGAUGACUGCCCUAUGGGUUGUAAACUUCUUUUAUAUGGGAAUAAAACGUUCCACGUGUGGGAUUUUGUAUGUACCAUAUGAAUAAGGAUCGGCUAACUCCGUGCCAGCAGCCGCGGUAAUACGGAGGAUCCGAGCGUUAUCCGGAUUUAUUGGGUUUAAAGGGAGCGUAGGUGGAUUGUUAAGUCAGUUGUGAAAGUUUGCGGCUCAACCGUAAAAUUGCAGUUGAAACUGGCAGUCUUGAGUACAGUAGAGGUGGGCGGAAUUCGUGGUGUAGCGGUGAAAUGCUUAGAUAUCACGAAGAACUCCGAUUGCGAAGGCAGUUCACUGGACUGCAACUGACACUGAGGCUCGAAAAUGUGGGUAUCAAACAGGAGUAGAUACCCGAGUAGUC
rnacentral:rRNA from 1 species